AUAUUUUCCCAAGACCUUAGUUCUUGAAAUAUAAGAAUAAAAAUAAAGCAUUAAAGCAGCUUUAGGAAUUCAUAACGAUCACCAACUAAUCUAUAGCAUAGUAUUACUCUGAAAUUUUCACGGUAUUUAUCUUUUUUAGUGCAGUACUCUAUUAAAAAUAAUUCCUCUAGCUCUAACCUUAUAGACCAGCCAAUGUUGAUCAUAUGAUCACAAGACCUAAAAUGGGAUUAUGUAUGCAACCAAGAAUUUACCCUACACUCUUCUCACUUUGCCACCCCCUACACCACUUUAUUUGUAACCUCCCCAAAUUACAAUUUUCUCAAGGUCUUUGGGUAGGCCUUGUUUCCUUUUCUUAAACUUUAUAAUGCCAUCAAGUUUGAGUUUAGAUCAACUAAGUGUAUCUCUUUGGGGUAAUCCAUCAGUAAUACAGGAUAUAUCUGUUUAUGUCCAACUUUUAUUUUUAAAGGUUUCAUCUUUAAUAUCUUCAUCCUUUUUUCAACCACCUCAACACCCUUCUAAU
rnacentral:sRNA from 1 species